CAAGCGGCGGACGGGUGAGUAAUGUCUGGGAAACUGCCUGAUGGAGGGGGAUAACUACUGGAAACGGUAGCUAAUACCGCAUAAUGUCGCAAGACCAAAGUGGGGGACCUUCGGGCCUCAUGCCAUCAGAUGUGCCCAGAUGGGAUUAGCUAGUAGGUGGGGUAACGGCUCACCUAGGCGACGAUCCCUAGCUGGUCUGAGAGGAUGACCAGCCACACUGGAACUGAGACACGGUCCAGACUCCUACGGGAGGCAGCAGUGGGGAAUAUUGCACAAUGGGCGCAAGCCUGAUGCAGCCAUGCCGCGUGUGUGAAGAAGGCCUUCGGGUUGUAAAGCACUUUCAGCGGGGAGGAAGGCGAUAAGGUUAAUAACCUUGGCGAUUGACGUUACCCGCAGAAGAAGCACCGGCUAACUCCGUGCCAGCAGCCGCGGUAAUACGGAGGGUGCAAGCGUUAAUCGGAAUUACUGGGCGUAAAGCGCACGCAGGCGGUCUGUCAAGUCGGAUGUGAAAUCCCCGGGCUCAACCUGGGAACUGCAUUCGAAACUGGCAGGCUAGAGUCUUGUAGAGGGGGGUAGAAUUCCAGGUGUAGCGGUUGAAAUGCGUAGAGAUCUGGAGGAAUACCGGUGGCGAAGGCGGCCCCCUGGACAAAGACUGACGCUCAGUGCGAAAGCGUGGGGAGCAAAACAGGAUUAGAUACCCUGGUAGUCCACGCCGUAAAACGAUGUCGAUUUGGAGUUGUGCCCUUGAGGCGUGGCUUCCGGAGCUAACGCGUUAAAUCGACCGCCUGGUGGAGUACGGCCGCCAGGUUAAAACUCAAAUGAUUU
rnacentral:rRNA from 1 species